rnacentral:rRNA from 1 species
AUUGAACGCUGGCGGCAGGCCUAACACAUGCAAGUCGAACGAGCGGCGGACGGGUGAGUAAUGUCUGGGAAACUGCCUGCUAGGGGGGGAUAACUACUGGAAACGGUGGCUAAUACCGCAUACUAUCGGAUGAACCCAGAUGUGAUUAGCUAGUAGGUGGGGUAAAGGCUCACCAAGGCGACGAUCGCUAGCUGGUCUGAGAGGAUGACCAGCCAACCUGUGACUGAGCCACGGGCCAGAUGCCUACGGGAGGCAGCAGUGGGGAAUAUUGCACAAUGGGCGCAAGCCUGAUGCAGCCAGGCCGCGUGUAUGAAGAAGGCCUUAGGGUUGUAAAGUACUUUCAGCGGGGAGGCGUUACCCGCAGAAGAAGCACCGGCUAACUCCGUGCCAGCAGCCGCGGUAAUUC